CCCCGCCCCGCGCUACGCGAGGGGAGGUGGAGCCUCAAAGGGAGAAGCCGGCGCCGGCCUAACCCUCUGACGACGCUUCCCAUGGCAGACUCCGCCGGGCACCGUUCUGCCCACCUCAAGGCCCGGGGGCCCCGCGCCUCCCGAAACGCCGCAGGUGCUAAACAGACAAAUGCCUUAAAACAAGAAGAUGCUUCUAAAAGGAGAGCAGAACUAGAAGCAGCUGUGAGAAAGAAAAUUGAAUUUGAGAGAAAAGCUCUACAUAUCGUUGAGCAGCUUUUAGAAGAGGAUAUUACAGAAGAAUUCCUAAGGGAAUGCGGGAGGUUCAUCACACCAGCUCACUACAGCGAUGUCGUGGAUGAACGUUCUAUUAUUAAACUCUGCGGUUAUCCAUUAUGUCAGAAGAAACUAGGAGUUGUACCAAAACAGAAGUAUAAAAUUUCUACCAAAACCAAUAAAGUCUAUGAUAUUACUGAAAGAAAGUGUUUUUGCAGCAAUUUUUGUUAUAAAGCAUCUAAGUUUUUUGAAGCACAAAUUCCAAAAACUCCAGUAUGGGUUCGAGAAGAGGAAAGGCAUCCUGAUUUUCAGCUGCUACAGGAAGGACAAAGUGGCCAUUCUGGAAAGGAAGUACAGUUAUGCACUAAGACCAUUAAAACAUCAGAUAUUGACAAUCCUGGCCAUUCUGAGAUGCAUUAUGAAUCUAGUGCUUCUAGCUCUCAUAGUGAUAGUAGCAGUGAUAAUGAGCAAGACUUUGUUUCCACCAUUCUACCAGGAAACAGACCAAAUGCAACAGGUAUAAGUCCACAGCUGCCCAAAAAAAGCAUAAUGAAAAAGAAAGCUGGUCAGAAAGCUAACUCCAAAUGUGAAGACAAAGAAGAGACAGUAAUAGCUGUCACUGAGCAGCUAGGCAAUUGCAGAUUAGAUAGUCAUGGGAAAGCUGCUGCUUGUGAACUUCCUUUACAGCAAGUAAGUACUCAGAUUUCUUCAAAUAGUCCUUUGCAAGAAAAAUUAGAAGCUACAGAAAAUUCUGAAGAUAAAUACAAUAGUUCAAAAAUAACUCUAGUAGGCAUAAGUAAGAAAAGUGCUGAGCAUUUUAAGAGAAAAUUUGCCAAAUCAAACCAAGUUUCUAGGUCACCCUCUAGGCUGGUGCAGAUGUGUCCCAAAGUUGCAAAGACAAACUUACUUAAAGUCCUGAAAGAGACUUUGACUGAAUGGAAGACAGAAGAAACUUUGAGGUUUUUGUAUGGCCAAAAUUAUGCUUCUUUGUGUCUGAAACUCUCUUCAUCCCCUCUGGCUAAAGAAGAAGAAUUUGAUGAAGAUGACAUAUGCUCUGACUCAGAUAAACAUUCUCCUGCCUUGCAGGAAUCUCAGAACAGCUUGGAUGAGUCUUUACCUUUUAGGGCCUCAGAAACAGCCAUUAAACCACUGCCAAGUUAUGAGAACUUGAAGAAAGAAACUGAAACAUUAAAUCUGAGAAUAAGGGAGUUUUAUAGAGGACGAUAUGUUUUGAGUGAAGAAACCACCAAAUCACAAGACUCUGAAGAGCAUGAUCUCACCUUUCCACUGAUAGAUUCAAGUUCUCAGAACCAGAUUAGAAAACGCAUCGUACUUGAAAAGUUAAGUAAAGUAGUCCCUGGACUUUUGGGGCCUCUUCAGAUCACAUUAGGAGAUAUUUCUGCACAACUUAAAAACCUUAUCCGAACUUUCAGAUUAACAAAUAGAAAUAUUAUACACAAACCUGCAGAGUGGACCUUAAUUGCUGUGGUGUUGCUGUCAUUACUGACCCCAAUUCUUGGCAUUCAGAAGCAUUCUCAGGAGAAUGUCGUGUUUACACAGUUUAUAGAGACUUUGCUUGAAGAAUUACAUUUAAAGAAUGAAGACCUUGAAAACUUAACCAACAUAUUUAAAACCAGCUGUUAACCACGGAGUGCUUCACACUCGAACCUAGACCAUGCUUCAUGUGCCGUCUUACUGGUUGAAGUAAAUUGCUCUUUCCAGGGAAGAAACCUCACUACUGCAGCCAUCCACUGAGAACGUCCUCACCCAAUUCCCUCUUUGAGGAAACGAUCCCCAACCCAUUCACUACUUCAGUCAUCUCCUGAGUAGAUAACUAGGUAUAAUCCAUGAAGACCAAAUAGAAGAUGAGCUUCUAUUCAUCAUUUCUGGAAUUCUAGCCAUAGUAAUGUUCUGGUGGUAACAGAUAACUAGCUUUGUUCCAAGAAAGACCUUUACCUCCUUAGAUUUCAGCCGCCUGGUUCCCAGUCCCUAACUGUACAGUGGCUUCCCCUAGAUAGAGGAGAACCACUUUUCCAACAAGGAUAACCAAGUCCUUGCAUCCCUAGCUGUAAGACAUAGUAUUUCUAUUUAAUUGAAAAAUGAAAAAUGAAGUCGUAAGUUGAAACUUCAAUAAAUAUUGGCCUUAUUUUUUUCCUGGAUGAUUCCAGCCAUUAUAUUGGUUGGCGAAACAUUUGAGAACAUUCCUAUUUUGACAUCACAAUCUAAACUGUAGAUUCUAAACAGUAAAAGGUUCAAUAAAUGCAAUGUAAGAUGAAGCCCUUUGAAAGUCUAAUCAUUAUUCUUUUAAAGAAACUGCUAUAAAAUAGUACUGAACAAUGUGGUUAAUCUUACAAGUCUAAAACAGGAAUAUUCCACAAUUUUCUGGACUUGAAAAAAAAAGGAAACUGUAGUUUGUUUUCAGAGUUUACACAGCUAUUUCAAAAUGUCUGUCAUCAUGCAAGCUACAAGGCCUCCAGAGCAGUUAAGGUAAGGGGGAGGGGGACUCAGACAAUUUGGGAAGCUUUACUGGAGGGCCAAGAAACAAAAUAAGAAUCAGAUCUACACUCUUGGACACUUGAGGAAGUGAUAGCUGCUAGAAGUCUAACCAUGGAAAGGGUCCAGAAAGCAGCCUUGUGGAAUGGGGAGCUUAAUAGAUGAGAAUCUACAAGUUCAGUAAGUCACAGACUACAAUAGACAGAAAUCAGUUGUUUUUGUAUAUUAGCAAUGAAAAAUUCAAAAAGCAAGAAAAUUCCAUUCAAAAUAGCACCAGAAAGUAUUUAGUAUUUAGUAAAUUUAACAAAAGAAGUAUAAGAUUUGUGGGGCUCCUGGGUGGCAUAGUCAAUUAAGCAUCUAAAUCUUGAUUUCAGCUCCCAUUCUGAUCUCCGUGUCUUGAGAUAUGAGCCAUGGGUCAGCUCACACGGAGUACGGCAUCUGCUUGAGAUUUGCUGUCCCUCUUCAUCUGUCCCUCUGGCUCCUGCUCUCUGUCAAAUAUUUUAAGGUUGGGGGGGGCAUCUGGGUGGCUUAGUCCAGGCAAGUGUCUGACUCAGUUUCUGCUCAGGUCAUGGUCUCAGGGUUGAGAGAUCAAGCCCCAUGUUGGGCUCAGCACUCAGCGUGCAGUCUGCUUGAAUAUCUCUUUCCCUCUCCUUCUGCCUUCUGCUUGUGUGCUCACUCUAAAAUAAAAAAUCCUUAAAAAUAAAUAAAAGCGUAAAACUUCAAAAAGAGUGAGAGGCGCCUGGGUGGCUCAGUUGGUUAAGCAUCUGCCUUCAGCUUGGAUCCUGAUCCCAGGGUUCUGGGAUCAGGCCCCAUUUCAGGCUCCCUGCUCAGCAGAAAGUCUGUUUCUCCCUCUCUGUCUCUCUGCUACUCCUCUGCUCAUACUCUCUCUCAAAUAAAUAAAAAUAAACAUCUUUUUUUAAAAAGUUGUAUAAUGAGGGGUGCCUCGGUGGCUCAGGGGGUUAAGGCCUCUGCCUUCGGCUCAGGUCAUAGUCUCAGGGUCUUGGGAUUGAGCCCUGCAUUAGGCUCUCUGCUCAGUGGGGAGCCUGCUUCCUCCUCUCUCUCUGCCUGCCUCUCUGCUGACUUGUGAUCUCUGUCUGUCAAAUACAUAAAAUCUUAAAAAGAAAAGGAAUAGUGUUAAAAAAAUAAAUAAAAGUUGUAUAAUGAAUAUUAUGAAACAGAAACAUUAAAGAAGGUGUAGAGAUAUUCCAUGUUUAUGAAUUAGAAGUUUCGAUUGUUAAGAUGAUAGUCCUCCCCACAUUGCUAAUAGAUCACUACAAUCCCUCUCAAAAUUCCAGUAGGCUAUUUUGAAGUAUUUCAAGCUGAUCCUAAAAUUUCUAGGGAAAUACAAAGGAUUUCCAAAAUAUCCAAGACAGUUCUGAAAAACACUUCCUGAUCUCAAAACUUACUACAAAGCUAUAGUAAUCAAUACAGUCUGAUACUGAUAGGCAUAAAGAUCAGUACAGCAGAGGUUCAGCUGGGAAGAUGGCCAAGUAGGAGGAUGUUAAGCUCUUCUUGCCCCAUGGAUACAAGUGGGUAACACCUCAGUAUAAACCCAAAAGAUGACCUGAAGCCUGGCAAGAUAAACCCCACAACUAAAUAAAUGGUAGGCAAAAGGCCACAUAGAAGAAGGUAGAAAGGGCCACGAUGUGGUCUGGGAGCAAAGUGGACUAGGGCCAUCCCCAGUGGGAAGGGAGCCUGUAGCACAAAGGACAGAAAACCAACUUUCACACUGGGGAGCCCAUAAAUGGGGAGGAUGAAUCCCCAUAAUACUUGCCUUUGAAAGUGAGAGGAGGCCAAUUUCUUGAGUUCCUACAACCCAGUGGGACUUAAAAGGCUGGAAUUUUUAAAUCAGUGGCCUCAAUUCCAGGAGAGCCUGGAGGGUAUUAGGAAGCAGAGUUCCCAUGCCUAAAGAAUCUGAACAGAUGCAGCACAGAACCAGAAGUUCGAAAAACACCAGGGGUAGAUGGGAAGAAGGAUUUGUUCAUCUCAGAACAUGGCCUGGAGAGAGGGAUCACAGGAAGACCCAUCCAGAAACAAAGGAGCUGACAGGUUCGAUAUCCCUCCAUCCCCCACUGCCCCCCACAUAAAUAGUAGAUGCCUGUAGGAAUGAUUGCAGCACCAACAUUUAUCACUUAACUUGGCUUACACGAAGCCCCACCCCUACACUUCUGUGAAUCCACUCUUCCCAGUCACCGUCACCUUAGUCCAGUCACUGUGGGCCCCCUCUCCGAAAAGACUAGUGGAAACCUUGCCAACACCACAUCUGACUGGCACAUUGUGCAGAAAUUCUGAUCUGGGAGCAGAUCAUUUCACUAGCAGACCACCACACACCUUGCUAAAUGCUGCCCACAAUAGGCAAACACAGCCUCUGCAGACAACUGGACUGAAGGAAAAAAAAAGAGGGCAAGACAACAGUAGAGCACACACAACACCCAUAGGAGACAUUCCCUGAAGCACCAGGCCCCGGAGAACAACACUGCACCAAAAGACCUCUUCUAUAUGAGGCAAUUAUAGUUAAGAGCAAGAGAAGUAGCUGACUUUCCUAACACAAAGAAACAGACACAGGAAGUCAGACAAAACAAGGAGACAGAGGAAUAGCUCUUAAAUGAAAAAACAGGAACAAACCACAGCAUGAGAUCAAAGCAAAAUAUAAGUGAUAGGCCUGAUAAAAAAUUUAAAGUAUGAUCAUAAAGAUACACAUUAGACCUUAGACAAGAAUGGAAGACAUCAGUGAGACCCUUAACACAUAUAUAAAGGAACUAAUGAGAGAUGAACAACACAAUAAAUGAAAUUUAAAAUACACUUGAUGCAACACAUAGCAGGCUAGAUAAAGCAGAGGAAAUAAAAAUAACGACUUGAAGACAGUAAUAGAAAGUAACCACGCUGAACAAAAGCAAGGAAAGAAAAUUGUGCAGAUUGAGAAUAGGCUUAGAGAAUUCAAUGACUCCAUUAGUGUAAUAAUGCAUUAUAGGGAUUGCAGAAGAGAGAAAGGGUGGCAGAAAAUUUAUUUAAAUAAUAGCUGAAAAAUUCCCUACACAUCCAGGAGGCACAGAAAUCUCCCCCAUACCCUACUAAAUUCAACACAAGGAAUUCCACAUCAGACACGUAGUAAUUAAAAUGGCAAAAAGUAGCAAUAAGGAAAAAAAAAUUACAGCUUUUUCAGCAGAAACUUUUCAGGCCAGAAGGGGUAGUGGGAUAUAUUCAAGAUGCUGAAAGGGUAAAACCUAGAGCCAAAAAUAUUCUAUCUAGCAAGGAUGUUGUUCAGAAUAUAAGGAGAGAUAAGAACUUCUCAAAAGAGGAGUUCAUGACCAGCUCUAUAAGAAAUAUUAAUGGGGACUCUGAGUGGAAAGGGAAAACCUUAGGUUGAAAGCAUGAAAUGUAGGAAAAUGCAAAAGCAGUAAAAAUAAGCAUUUCUCUUAAAAAAAAAAAAAAAAAAAAAAGUCUGUCAAGGCUGGUGACUGGGUGGCUCAGUCAGUAAGGGUCUGCCUUCAGCUCAGGUCAUGAUCCCAGGAUCAAGCCCCACAUUGGGCUCCCUGCUUAACACGAACCCUGCUUCUUUCUCCCUCUUCCACUUCCCCUGCUUGUGUUCCCUCUCUUGGUGUGUCUCUCUCUGUCAAAUAAAUAAAUAAAAUCUUUGGGGGGGGAAUCAGUCAAGGGAUUCAUACACACACAAGAAAGAUGUAAAAUAUGAUACCAUAUAACUGAAAUUUGUAGGGGGAAAAGAGUAAAGAGUAAAGAAUGUUUGAACUUAAGUGACCAUCAACUGCUAUAUGCAGAAGAUACCUAAUGUUAUCAAAUAAAAAAUAAAA